UAGAUGGGCCUAAUUAAAAAGUUAAUGGGCUUAUUUAUGGGCUUGAACUUAGCUCAACGUUUCACGAGUGUAUUUGAUGGGGGGGGGGGGGGGAGGAGGGGGGGGGGGGGGGGGGGAUAUUCCAAAAGAUGUUCUUUGAAUCUGUUGGCCUAGUUGCAAGUGACCGUUUUAUCCUCAAUAUGUACCAACCGGUUUUAUUCGGUGAACCAAACUCAACCGUUGCAAUUUUGUUUGGGUUAGUGAUGAAUGCAUCAUUCCUUUAUUUUUUUCACUCAUUGAUGGAAAUCAAAUCUAGACUAUUAAUUCAGUUUUGGCUAUGGAGAGAAUACGGAUGGAGAUUAAAGCAAUGAAAAGGUCUAGGGAAACAAAUUGAACCAGACGUACUCAGUUUUAUCGGUACGACUAUGGUAUGUAUUUUAGUAGGGGUAAAAUCGUCCGGUACAAAAUAAGAGGCUUCAUCACGAUGGUAUAAGCUCGUCUAGUCGUCUUGCUCCUCUUGGCAAAAAGGAAAACAAAAACACAUUUGGCUCAAGUCAGAACCUAUUUUUUUGUAGUCACAGAAAAACUAAAGAAGUCACUCGUACAACUUCUUGAACUCAUGAGGAUCAAGAAAAAUGGCGCUUCUACUUCUUUCACUUCAUCUUCCAUGUGCAAGGUCCGUUUGUCUGGUUUUUCUCAAGUCUUCUCAAAUCUAUUAUAAAAGGUUAUUCGGUGUGAGCAUAUUCCGGUAUGCAGUUGCGGUUUAGUUGUGAUUUUGGUUUAUUAUGAGCAUGUUCUGGAAUCUAUAACCAUUUAGAAUUGGGUCCAUAUUGGUGAAGUCAUUUGUGCUCUGUUGGGCCCUCUUCUAAUCUUACGACGUGUACUAAUUACCUGUUUAAAUAUUGUAAUUUUAUUAAUAAGAAUAUAAAAGUACUGCUUA